rnacentral:tRNA from 1 species
AAAAUCCGUCGACUUUAGAAAUUCGGGAGGGUUCAAGUCCCUCUAUCCCC